GAGAGAAUUUUGAGGGCUAGCCAUCUCUCGGUCGCCAGCUAAUAAAGGACUCCUGAAUUAAUCUCAAAGUGUAGCGUUUCUCCAUAACUCGCUUGGUUACAACAUUUGGAGGCCCCAACGAGAUAUUCACCUCUGGGUGAGAGCUGGACUCAUUCCAGGCUCCCCCGGACAGACGGCGGACUUAUAGGGGAGGUGCCACCUGAAGACAUUCCAGGGCCCCAUAAGACCCCGUCUUCCGGAGGGGAAUGGAUCGACCACCAGUGUGUGCCCACAAAAAUUCAACUCCUGAUCCUCAGUUUCUGGUCCCGGGAAGGUCCUCAAUCUCCCCGCAGCAGAGGAAUCUGAUGAUUAAAAGGGCCGGGGCUCCCUCUCUCUUGGCCCCCGGAAGCCCAUGGAGACCGUCACAGCGGAGGGCCAUGGUGAUGCCCAGGCAUCUAUUUGUCUAAAAGACUGGACCCAGUGGCCUCCAGGUGGACAAGUUGUCUGUGGGCCAUAGCAGCCACAGCAAGCCUGAUUCAGGAGACUGAUAAACUGACUCUAAGUCAAAAUUUAACUCUUACGGCUCCUCGUGCCAUAGAGACUUUGCUGCAAAGUGCUUCUGGCAAAUGGAUGUCAAAUGCUCGCAUCCUGCAGUAUCAGAGUUUUACUGUUAGAUUGGCCUCGUUUAACUUUCUCUCCCACAAGGUGUUUAAAUCCAGCUACUUUGCUCCCUGAUCCAGACUUCACCACACCUGUCCAUGACUGCCAGGAACUGUGAGAGACUACAGAAACUGUCCGACCUGAUCUCCAAGAUGUGCCUUUAAAGGAGGUGGAUGCUACCGUGUUUACAGACAGUAGCAGCCUCCUUAAACAAGGAGUACGAAAGGCUGGUGCGGCUGUUACUAUGGAGACGGAUAAACUGCAGACUCAGGCAUUGCCAGCAGGUACCUCAGCACAAAAAGCUGAAUUGGUUGCUCUCAUUCAGGCCCUCCGACGGGUAAGGACAAAUGUAUUAACAUUUACACUGACAGCAGGUAUGCUUUUUGCUACUGUGCGUGUACAUGGAGCCAUCUACCAAGUGCGUGGGCUACUCACCUCAGCAGGAAAGGCUAUCAAAAACUAAGAAGAAAUUUUGGCCCUGCUUGAAGCUGUUUGCCUACCUCAACAGGUGGCUGUAAUUCACUGCAAAGGACAUCAAAAAGAAGACACGGCCGUUGCCCAUGGUAACCAAAGAGCAGACUCUGCAGCCUGGGGGCCAGCUCAACUGCCAGUCGCGCCUCCGACCCUGCUGCCUGCAGUGUCCUUUCCGCAACCUGACUUGUCAGAUCACCCAGAAUAUUCCCCAGAGGAGGAAAAACAGGCUUCGGAUCUUCAGGCCAGUAAAAAUCAGGAAGGAGGAGUAAAACUGGCCCAGCUUCUAAGGAGCCGUUUCAAGAUCCCCAACCUUCAGGACUUAGUUAACCAAGCAGCUCUCUGGUGUACGGCUUGUGCCCAGGUAAACACUAAGCAAGGUCCUAAACCCAGCUCAGGCGACCGCCUCCAGGGAGACUCACCAGGAGAAAGGUGGGAAAUUACAGAAAUAAAACCACACUGGGCAGGGUACAAAUACCUUCAGGUACUAGUAGACACCUUUUCUGGAUAGACUGAGGCAUUUGCCACCAAAAACGAGACUGCCACCACGGUAGUUAAGUUUUCACUCAAUGAAAUCAUCCCUCAACAUGGGCUGCCUGCUGCCAUGGGGUCUGAUAAUAGAUCGGCCUUCACCUCGUCCAUAGCUCAGUCAGUCAGUAAGGCAUUAAACAUUCAAUGGAAGCUCAGUUGUGCCUAUCGACCCCAGAGCUCUGGAUGGGUAGAACACAUGAAUCACACCCUAAAAAAUACUCUUACAAAAUUGAUCUUAGAGACCGGUAAAAAUUAGGUAAGACUCCUUCCUUUAACCCUUCUUAAAGUAAGAUGCAUUCCUUACCGGGCUGGGUUUUCACCUUUUGAAAUCACAUAUAGGAGGGCUCCGCCUAUCUUGCCUAAGCUAAAGGAUACCCGUUUAGCAGAAAUCUCACAAGCUAAUUUAUUACAGUACCUACAGUCUCUCCAACAGGUACGAGAUAUCAUCCGCCACUUGUCUGGGGAGCUCAUCCCAGUCCAGUUCCUGACCAGACGGGGCCCUGCCACUCGUUCCCACCGGGUGACCUGGUGUUAAAAAGUUCCAGGUUAAAGUUUAAAAAAAAAAAAAAAGUUCCAGAAAGAAGGACUCACUCCUGCUUAGAAAGGACCUCAUACUGUCAUCCUCACCAUGCCGACAGCUCUGGAAGUGGCCAGCAUUCCUGCUUAGAUUCAUCACUCACAUCAAAAAGGCCAACAGAGCCCAACAAGAAACAUAGGUCCCCAAGCAUAGGCCAGGCCCCUUAAAACUGUGCCUAAGUCGAGUGAAGCCUUUAGAUUAAUUCUUUUUAUUUAUCUCUCUUGUUUAUUUCCACCUGUUAUGCCCUCCGUGCCUUCCUAUUCUUCUCACUUCUUUCACGACAGGACGUGUAUUUGCAAACACUACUUGGAAGGCAAGAACCUCCAAGAAAGUCUCUUUUGCAGUCGAUUUAUGUGCUUUGUUCCCAGAGCCUGCCCAUAACCUUGAAGAACAAUGCAACCUGCCGCAUAGAAGCGGGGAACAUCAACCUUGCUACAGGGUUCGGACACACAGGAAGCCGGACUGGAUGUAAAAACUCUAAAAGUGAAAAAAAAAGGACUCCAGAGCAUUGACUUUUACCUCUGUCCUAAAAAUCACCCUGACUCUAGUUGUCACGAUUCUUACCAAUUUUUCUGCCCUCACUGGUUUUGUGUGACCCUAGCCACUUACCCUAGAGGAUCACCUGGUCCUCAACCCUCUCCAUAACUCACACUUCCCAUCCUAGACUGUGUACUAUGAAAAAUUGUAACCCUCUUACUAUAACUGUCUGUAACCCUGGUUCAGCUCAAUGGUAUUGUGACCUGUCAUAGAGAUUAAGGCUUUAUAUCUCGAGAUUUAAUGUUAAAACUAUGUUCACCAUCCAAAAAAUCUAGAUAAACGCCAGCAAAAAUAGGAAAAUAGCACCCCUUGGUACCAAAGUAUGUUUAACUAGAAUCCAUGGCUGACUACUUUAAUCACUAGGCUAGCUAGCCCCCUUCUCCUCCUACUGUUAGGCUUAGUCUUCAGGCUGUGUAUAUUAAAUUGGUUUCUUAACUUUAUAAAGCAACGCAUAGCUUCUGUCAAGCUUAUAUAUCUUAAAACCCAAUAUAACACCCUUGUUAUAACUGAGGAAUCAAUGAUUUGAUUCCCCAAAAACACAAGUGGGGAAUGUAUUACCUUACCUUGUUUUAAUAUGAAUAGACCCUCCCUUAGCUGAGAAAGCUGGACGGACUCCAUUUGGCUCCUUCAUUUGCAAGACAUCAAGGGCUCCUUACCCACCCCCUUCCUCAAGGACUUAACUUGUACAAGCUGACUCCCAGCACAUCAAAGAGUGCAAUUAACCAAUAAGGUACUGUGGCAAGUUAUGUCCACAGUUCCCAGAAAUUCACCCAGGUGAUAGUACCCUAAGCCCCCGCGUUUGUGUCUGGUAGAUAGCACCCAAAGCCCUCGCACCUAUUACCUUGUGAUGGAUUUAAAGCCCCUGCACCUGGAACUGUUUGUUUUCCUGUAACCAUUUGUCUUUUCAACUUUUUUUGCCUGUUUUACUUCUGUAAGAUUGCUACAGCUAGGCUUCCCCUCCCCCCUCUAAACCAAAGUAUAAAAGAAAAUCUAGCCCCUUCUUCGGGGCUGAGAGAAUUUUGAGGGCUGGCCGUCUCUCAGUCGCCAG
rnacentral:lncRNA from 1 species